rnacentral:rRNA from 1 species
GCCCUUACUGCUCAGUAACACGUAGUCAACAUACCGUAAAGAGGCGAAUAACGUCGGGAAACUGACGACAAUGCGCCAUAGGCUAAGGCAUCUGGAAGGAGCCUUAGUUUAAAGGACCUGAAUUGGAGGGUAUCUGCUUUACGAUUGGACUGCGCCUGAUCAGGCAGAUGGCGGGGUAACGGCCCACCAUACCUAUUACCAGUAGGGGUUGUGAGAGCAAGAGCCCCGAGAAGGGCACUGAGACAAGGGCCCUAGCGCUACGGCGUGCAGCAGGCGCGCAAACUCCACAAUGCGCGGAAGCGUGAUGGGGGGAAUCCGAGUGGUUCACUUCGGUGAACCUUUUGCCAAGUAUAGCAAGCUUGGCGAAUAAGUGCUGGGCAAGACCGGUGGCAGCCGCCACGGUAAUACCGGCAGCACAAGUGGUAUCCACGAUUAUUGGGCUUAAAGCGCUCGUAGCUGGCCUGUUCCGUCUCAUGUGAAAUAUUGGCGCUCAACGUCAAUGCGUGCAUGAGAUACCGGCAGGCUAGGGAGCGGGUGAGGUACGAGGUACUCAUGGGGGAGGGGUAAAAUCCUGUAAUCCGAUGAGGACCAACGGUGGCGAAGGCGUCGUACCAGAACGCAUCCGACAGUGAGGAGCGAAGGCUAGGAGAACGAAUCGGAUUAGAUACCCGAGUAGCCCUAGCAGUAAAUUAUGCAGACUCUGGUGUUGCAAAUGUCUUGAACGUUUGCAGUACCGUAGCGAAAGUGUUAAGUCUGCCGCCUGGGGAGUACGGCCGCAAGGUUGAAACUUAAAGGAAUUGGCGGGGGAGCACAAGGG